rnacentral:rRNA from 1 species
CCUACGGGAGGCUGCAGUGGGGAAUAUUGCACAAUGGGCGCAAGCCUGAUGCAGCCAUGCCGCGUGUGUGAAGAAGGCCUUCGGGUUGUAAAGCACUUUCAGCGGGGAGGAAGGCGUUAAGGUUAAUAACCUUGGCGAUUGACGUUACCCGCAGAAGAAGCACCGGCUAACUCCGUGCCAGCAGCCGCGGUAAUACGGAGGGUGCAAGCGUUAAUCGGAAUUACUGGGCGUAAAGCGCACGCAGGCGGUCUGUCAAGUCGGAUGUGAAAUCCCUGGGCUCAACCUGGGAACUGCAUUCGAAACUGGCAGGCUAGAGUCUUGUAGAGGGGGGUAGAAUUCCAGGUGUAGCGGUGAAAUGCGUAGAGAUCUGGAGGAAUACCGGUGGCGAAGGCGGCCCCCUGGACAAAGACUGACGCUCAGGUGCGAAAGCGUGGGGAGCAAACAGGAUUAGAUACCCCUGUAGUC